UGGGGAAUUUUGGACAAUGGGCGAAAGCCUGAUCCAGCAAUGCCGCGUGUGUGAAGAAGGCCUUCGGGUUGUAAAGCACUUUUGUCCGGAAAGAAAUCCUUGGCUCUAAUACAGUCGGGGGAUGACGGUACCGGAAGAAUAAGCACCGGCUAACUACGUGCCAGCAGCCGCGGUAAUACGUAGGGUGCAAGCGUUAAUCGGAAUUACUGGGCGUAAAGCGUGCGCAGGCGGUUUGCUAAGACCGAUGUGAAAUCCCCGGGCUCAACCUGGGAACUGCAUUGGUGACUGGCAGGCUAGAGUAUGGCAGAGGGGGGUAGAAUUCCACGUGUAGCAGUGAAAUGCGUAGAGAUGUGGAGGAAUACCGAUGGCGAAGGCAGCCCCCUGGGCCAAUACUGACGCUCAUGCACGAAAGCGUGGGGAGCAAACAGGAUUAGAUACCCUGGUAGUCCACGCCCUAAACGAUGUCAACUAGUUGUGGGGAUUCAUUUCCUUAGUAACGUAGCUAACGCGUGAAGUUGACCGCCUGGGGAGUACGGUCGCAAGAUUAAAACUUAAAGGAAUUGACGGGGUCAUAGCUGUUUCCU
rnacentral:rRNA from 1 species